rnacentral:misc_RNA from 1 species
GUGAAUCAUCGAAUCUUUGAACGCACAUUGCACCCUCUGGUAUUCCAGGGGGUAUGCCUGUUCGAGCGUCAUUACAACCAUCAAGCACUGCUUGGUAUUGGAUGUCACAUUUGUUGUGCAUUUCAAAAGUAUUGGCAGUAGCAUUCAGCUUCUAGUGUAGUAAAUUUCUUGCUUUGGAGUUUUGAGUGUCUUGAUUGCUGGAACCCUUUUAUCAAAAUGUUGACCUCGGAUCAGGUAGGGAUACCCGCUGAACUUAAGCAUAUCAAUAAGCGGAGGA